rnacentral:tRNA from 1 species
UACGGUCCUCUUGACUCAGUGGUAAAGCAUCUGCUACGCAUGCAGAAGGCCCCUGGUUCAAUUCCUGGCCUCUGCUGUAA